GAUGAAGAACGUAGCGAAAUGCGAUAAGUAAUGUGAAUUGCAGAAUUCCGUGAAUCAUCGAAUCUUUGAACGCACAUUGCGCCCGCCAGUAUUCUGGCGGGCAUGCCUGUUCGAGCGUCAUUUCAACCCUCAAGCACAGCUUGGUGUUGGGACUCGCGUUAAUUCGCGUUCCCCAAAUUGAUUGGCGGUCACGUCGAGCUUCCAUAGCGUAGUAGUAAAACCCUCGUUACUGGUAAUCGUCGCGGCCACGCCGUUAAACCCCAACUUCUGAAUGUUGACCUCGGAUCAGGUAGGAAUACCCGCUGAACUUAAGCAUAUCAAUAAGCGGAGGA
rnacentral:misc_RNA from 1 species